rnacentral:tRNA from 1 species
GCCUGGAUGGCUCAGUCAGCUGAGCAUCUGACUUCGGCUCAGGCCGUCAUCUCACGGUUCGUGGGUUCGAGUCCCACAUCGGGCU